rnacentral:rRNA from 1 species
UUACGAGGUCAGGACACUGUGAGGAUUGACAGAUUGAAAGCUCUUUCUUGAUUCAGUGGGUGGUGGUGCAUGGCCGUUCUUAGUUGGUGGAGUGAUUCGUCUGGUUAAUUCCGUUAACGAACGAGACCUUAACCUGCUAAAUAGUCACGCGAACCGGUCCGCAAGGGCUCAAAGUUCGCGGCUCGACUUCUUAGAGGGACUAUUCGCACCCGCCAGCGAAUGGAAGUUUGAGGCAAUAACAGGUCUGUGAUGCCCUUAGAUGUUCUCGGCCGCACGCGCGUUACACUGACGGAGUCAACGAGCGUUUUUCCUUGCCCGACAGGGCCGGGUAACCUCCUGAAACUCCGUCGUGAUGGGGAUAGAUCAUUGCAAUUAUUGAUCUUGAACGAGGAAUUCCUAGUAAGCGCGAGUCAUCAACUCGCGCUGAUUACGUCCCUGCCCUUUGUACACACCGCCCGUCGCUCCUACCGAUUGAACGGUCCGGCGAGAACUCCGGAUGGUC